AUGGAACUCAAAGCCCAGAACAAUGGGCUCUAUUUAAUAUUAAACAGGUUCUUAAUAACCUGCUAUUUCUCUCCACAGCUGCUGGAGGGUCCCCUCCUGGAAGCGCAGAGUUACAGGAGCAGUUCCCGUGAAGUUGUAAGCUACUCCCCAGGACCAAGCGGCGUUAAAUUUAGAAGUCAUGCUGAUCACCUGACUGUCGGCGAGCCCCGAUUUAAGAAAUUCCAAGUCUACCCUUGUCACCUCUAUCUGUCUAUAUUUGCAGACGCAGCUCGCCGCCCGGCCUGGGGUCACCACCCGAGCCUCCUGGAGACCUGCCCUGCGGAGGACGCCCUUCCAGCACCGGAGGGCUCGCCACUUGGGAGCGGCGGCGCCCAGUUGGCGCCCACCCCGGGACACACUGCAGUCAAUGCCUGGCAGCGACUUCUCGCUUCGCCCUCAGCCUCCCCCAUCGACCCUCUCUGGCCGACCUUUACGCCCAACUCGGGCGCGCUGCGAGCCUCGCGUCCUAGCCGUCCACGCGGGGCCCCACCCCUUCCCGGUUCCUGCCCGCGAUCGGGUCGGAGGCGAGGUGAAUGGGAAGAUGGAGAUGGAUGUUGAGGGAGUUUCUCCGCGCCCGGAGCCCAUCCCCCGCUCCCAGGGGGCUGGCGGAGCCUGCCAGGCGCCGCCACAGCCGCCCCAGCCCCAGCCCCAGCCCCCGCCGCAGCCGCCGCAGCAACAGCAGCAGCAGCAGCAGCAGCAGCAGCAGCAGCAGCAGCAGCUGGCUCAGGAUGAAGUGCCCGGCGAGAGUGCUGGCGUGGAGGACAGCGACGAUCCCGAGGCGAGACCCAACAGCGAGAAAGGAGAGAGCAAGGUAGGUCCACAGUGUUGGAGCUGUGACACCUUUUGGACAAAACCGAGGAUCUCUCGUAGUGGCUGUCACUUUAACCCCUCCGCUCCCCCACCCCUUCCCUCGUUUGUGUGGCGGUGGGGGUUGCAGAGGUGGGGAAGGCGUGAGAUCGAGGGGAGUCGACGGGAGAGAGUGACUUUCCGAACUGGAAGGCGUGUGCCGGAGCCUGUCCUGGUUUCCGUAUUCAGAGGUGUGUGCAGGGAAAAGUCUUCUGGUACUUGCGGUGUGAUGCCCGGGGUAGAGCAGGGCACUCGGGGAGAGCCGUGUGGGGGGACCUCUGGUUGCCCACACAGUCUGACCAAGGCUUCUUGA
rnacentral:lncRNA from 1 species